UACGUAGGCAGCAAGCGUUGUUCGGAAUUACUGGGCGUAAAGAGUGUGUAGGCGGUGUUCCAAGUCUGGUGUGAAAUCUCCCGGCUUAACUGGGAGGGUGCAUUAGAAACUGGAAUGCUAGAGGAUGGGAGAGGUAAGCGGAAUUCCUGGUGUAGCGGUGAAAUGUGUUGAUAUCAGGAGGAACACCCAUGGCGAAGGCAGCAGACUGGGCGUUUCCUGACGCUGAGGCGCGAAAGCGUGGGUAGCAAACAGG
rnacentral:rRNA from 1 species